CCCGGCUCCAGGCUCUGUGGGGCCCCUGGGGUUGAGCCCCAUUGGCUGGAGGACGGAGGACCAGAGAGGCGAGGGGACCUGCCCGUGGUCAGUCAGCCAGCUGGGCAGAGGCAGACACAGAAAUGGCGAACCAUUCAGCAUUCAUUUAACAAGCCUUCACGGAGUGCCCACUCCAGGUCAGGCCCUGGGCUGGAUGCAGUGGACGCCAAGACUGUGAGCUCCACGAGGGCGAGGAGCCUUGAGGUGGCGAGCAGUCCUCAGCACUGGCGAGGGGCUGGCGAGAGGGGGCUGACAGACACUUGUUACAGGGGCGAAGAGAUGAGCGAAAGAGGAUGGAGGUCAAUUGCUUCUCACAGUGACCGCCACAUAGCAGUCGCUCAAUAAAUGCUGGCGAACGCUCUCACUGCAAACACGCAUUUUGAGCCUGUUGAUGUGUAACUCAGUGACCUACCUUGGGGUCAGUCACUGCCA